rnacentral:rRNA from 1 species
ACUCAAAGGAAUUGACGGGGACCCGCACAAGCAGUGGAGUAUGUGGUUUAAUUCGACGCAACGCGAAGAACCUUACCGGGGCUUGACAUCCACAAAAGCGGUACGAAAGUAUCGUGUGCCCUUCGGGGAAUUGUGAGACAGGUGGUGCAUGGUUGUCGUCAGCUCGUGUCGUGAGAUGUUGGGUUAAGUCCCGCAACGAGCGCAACCCUUGCCUUCAGUUGCUACGCAAGAGGACUCUGAAGGGACUGCCGUUGACAAAACGGAGGAAGGUGGGGACGACGUCAAAUCAUCAUGCCCUUUAUGUUCCGGGCUACACACGUACUACAAUGGUCGGUACAGCGGGAAGCAAAGGCGCGAGCCGGAGCGAAACGAGAAAACCGAUCUCAGUUCGGAUUGCAGGCUGCAACCCGCCUGCAUGAAGUCGGAAUUGCUAGUAAUCGCGAAUCAGCAUGUCGCGGUGAAUACGUUCCCGGGUCUUGUACACACCGCCCGU